UUCCCUGUAGCGUAACUGAUAGCUCGUUGGACUUCUAACUCAAAGGUCUUGGUUUCUAAUCCCAACUGGGAUG